rnacentral:rRNA from 1 species
AAUAUUGCACAAUGGGGGAAACCCUGAUGCAGCGACGCCGCGUGAGCGAAGAAGUAUUUCGGUACGUAAAGCUCUAUUAGCAGGGAAGAAAAUGACGGUACCUGUCUAAGAAUCUCCGGCUAACUACGUGCCAGCAGCCGCGGUAAUACGUAGGGGGCAAGCGUUAUCCGGAUUUACUGGGUGCAAAGGGAGCGUAGGUGGUUUGGUAAGUCAGAUGUGAAAGCCCGGGGCUCAACCCCGGAACUGCAUUUGAAACUAUCAAACUAGAGUGCAGGAGAGGUAAGUGGAAUUCCUAGUGUAGCGGUGAAAUGCGUAGAUAUUAGGAGGAACACCAGUGGCGAAGGCGGCUUACUGGACUGUAACUGACACUGAGGCUCGAAAGCGUGGGGAGCAAAC